rnacentral:rRNA from 1 species
UACGGAGGGGACUAGCGUUGUUCGGAAUUACUGGGCGUAAAGCGCACGUAGGCGGAUUUGUUAGUCAGGGGUGAAAUCCCGAGGCUCAACCUCGGAACUGCCUUUGAUACUGCAAAUCUCGAGUCCGGAAGAGGUGAGUGGAAUUCCUAGUGUAGAGGUGAAAUUCGUAGAUAUUAGGAAGAACACCAGUGGCGAAGGCGGCUCACUGGCCCGGUACUGACGCUGAGGUGCGAAAGCGUGGGGAGCAAACAGG